UGGAUUCAAACGAGGGUGUCUGUAGUGACGCCUCUAGCACUGAGGCAGUGCCUUAGACCGCUGCGCCACUCGGGCGCCCAUUGUUGGAGAGAUGGCAACCCUUAAAGCACUCGUGUAUGAUAAUGGUUCGUUAAAUUCUGGAUGAGGGUAGAACAGCCUGACAAUAUCCCUUUUCAUUGCUUUCACCGUUAUGCUUUGUACAUUUUAGAAAUGAUUAUGUUAACUGGUGUUGAUGAUCCAUUGACUGGGAUCUUUUUUUUUAAAGGUCCAAUCAAAGAUCUCCUUUGUGUCUUUCUGACUGUUUUUCAGAUUUAUGCCCACACUCCUCAAACGAAACAAACCUAGGGCUUGAUUCAAUCCGUAUCGCCGGAAUUGCGCGUCAUAGUGCGUUUUUGCCAUUUAAAGGUCAUUUCCGAUUGAGCUGACUUAUACGCAGCGUUUACCGUGAAUGCGGUCUCCGCCACCGUGGGAACAUUYCCUUUUUAUAUAGGCCAGGGUUUCUCAAGAAUCUCAAUAUCCAUAUUUGGUUAACUCUCGUUAAAUAGAUGUUAACUGCUGUCUGCGUUCUCAGGUGGAUAAUUCCCCAUCUGCUCUCGCCCACCCCCCCCGCUCUCUCUUGAGCUGAGCGGCUGUGACACCAGUUUCUCCUGCCGGAGGGAGAGCGGGAGGGAGCGACAAUUAGACAGGAAAUCAGAUUUGACCUGCAUAGAGCUGUAAGAUGCACCUGUUCAACAUAACACCACGUUCACUUACAUCGCUGCUGAUUCAACUCUGAGUGAUGGGAUAGCUUCACCUGGAAACAAGACCAAUAUUUUACUUUGGCGUGCGUGUCUGUGUGUGAGAGCUUCUCCCUCAAUCAAGACUCAUCCCGAGAGAGCACAAGCAUUCCUCUUCAGAGCAGCUGUUAUGUGACUAUCCCUGCACACAGGUGUUACGGGAAAUGGAUAUCAGAAGCCACAGGAGAGGAAGCUACGUCUGUCGAAAGGCCCAUUUGUUCGUCUCUGUCGAGGUCCACGAUGACCUCAUCCAUCCUGGAAUCCGACCAAUCCCGUCCUGGAAUCUCCCUUACACCGUGACCACCAGCGCGAGCUGAUGCUCAGUCACAGAUGGUGGAAACAGUUAACAGUCAACACGACCAGGAACCAAAUGCCAGCUGGAAAAUUGCCAAUACAGAGGCUCAGCUGAACACACAGACACACAGCUCUGUUGGGCAUCACUGGGCUUUGCAAAUACGUCGACCACACGCAGACAACAGGUGGGUUAAAUCUCCCAGCAGAACAGAACAGGCUCUCAAUAAUCAGGGGAGAGGAGAGAGACCAACAUUAUACAUAUUUAACCUCAAUACAACUCCAAACACCAUCAAUCCCUGAAUGUAUAAUUCUGGACCAUUGUUCCUCAUCAAUAGGUAAUAAGCACCAUAUUCAUAUCAAGAUAAUCACUUUCAUCACAUUCACCAAUAGGUCCACUUUCACUUAAAGACAGACCCCAGGAAUGUGUAAAUAGAGACAGGAAUGAGGUGGAUGAAAUCAUAUCUUGAAGACAAAACACAGUGUGUCAGUUAGCAAUGAGCUGUCGCCCACUCUAUGAUGUGGGCGUGCCCCAAGGCUCAAUACUGGGGCCCCUCGUAUUC